rnacentral:rRNA from 1 species
CUCUUGAAGUCUUAGUGGCGCAGCUAACGCACUAAGUAGACCGCCUGGGGAGUACGGCCGCAAGGUUAAAACUCAAAUGAAUUGACGGGGGCCCGCACAAGCGGUGGAGCAUGUGGUUUAAUUCGACGCAACGCGAAGAACCUUACCUGGCCUUGACAUCCUGCGAACUUUCUAGAGAUAGAUUGGUGCCUUCGGGAACGCAGUGACAGGUGCUGCAUGGCCGUCGUCAGCUCGUGUCGUGAGAUGUUGGGUUAAGUCCCGUAACGAGCGCAACCCCUAUCCCUAGUUGCUAGCAGUUCGGCUGAGAACUCUAGGGAGACUGCCGGUGACAAACCGGAGGAAGGUGGGGAUGACGUCAGGUCAUCAUGGCCCUUACGGCCAGGGCUACACACGUGCUACAAUGGCGCGCACAGAGGGCAGCAAACCCGCGAGGGGGAGCCAAUCUCACAAAACGCGUCGUAGUCCGGAUCGCAGUCUGCAACUCGACUGCGUGAAGUCGGAAUCGCUAGUAAUCGCGAAUCAGAAUGUCGCGGUGAAUACGUUCCCGGGCCUUGUACACACCGCCCGUCACACCAUGGGAGUGGAUUGCACCAGAAGUAGUUAGUCUAACCUUCGGGAGGACGAUUACCACGGUGUGGUUCAUGACUGGGGUGAAGUCGUAACAAGGUAGCCGUAGGGGAACCUGCGGCUGGAUCACCUCCUUA